GAUGAAGAACGUAGCGAAGUGCGAUAAGUAGUGUGAAUUGCAGAAUUCAGUGAAUCAUCGAAUCUUUGAACGCACAUUGCGCCUCCUGGUAUUCCGGGAGGCAUGCCUGUUCGAGCGUCAUUAAAAUCACUCAAGCUUAGGUUUACCUAUUGCUUGGUCUUGGAGAUGGAAGCCAAUUUAUUGGAAUCCUCUUCGAAAUUCAAUGGCGAAGACCCUUGCUCUCCCAAGUGUAGUAAUAACUUAUGUCACUGAAGGAAGCGAGAAAUCUUCUGCCGUAACCCCCAUAUUUUCUAUGAUUGACCUCGGAUCAGGUAGGGAUACCCGCUGAACUUAAGCAUAUCAAUAAGCGGAGGA
rnacentral:misc_RNA from 1 species